AGAGUAUGGCUUUGCAAGCUUUAGCUGUGUAGAAAAAUGGAUUUUUCUCCCCCCACAAGCAGCUGUCCAGGAACCACUCUCCAAACGAUAGCUCCCUUCUCAGGAGGUCCGGCUGCUCUAGAGGUGGUGUGGCCUGAUGGGCAGAGCCUGCCCGGUUCUGACCCCACCUCUCUAGGACAACACGCCAAGGGCCUUCGGAGAUGUCCACACACGAUGAUUCGGUGGUUUUGAGCUUGGCCUGGGGGCUGAGGGAAGAGAUUGGCUUUGGAGUCAUACAGAAGACACACAGGCUGUGUGAUCUUGGUUAUCAUUAGGGCUCCUCAUGAAUAUUCUGGCUCCUUCUCCUUCUGGGAUCUUCCUAGGACUGCACUUCCCCUCCUAUAUGAAACGAGGCUUGGCGG